GUUGCUUCUCAACUUUUUGGUCAAGGUCAAGUAUAAUAUCUGUUCUUAUCAAUUUAAUAUCUGAUCCAUCCUCUAUCUGAGGACAAGAGAUUAAAUGGAUUUUUGGAGCAGGGAGAUGGAAUAGGAGCUUGCUCCAUCAACUCCACACAUGGACCUGGUUUGCAGUACCUCCAGGAACGCUGCGCCCUCC
ensembl:snRNA U2 U2 spliceosomal RNA